rnacentral:lncRNA from 1 species
UGGCCCUGGGAGCAGGAGUUUUUCUCCUGGCUGGCUAUUCCAUGGGAAAAGCAGAGGUGGGGAGAUGCACCACGUCUGGAAGAUAGGGGUCCUGGGAGGUGUUUUUCUGCAUGGAAUGAAAUAUGCAUCUUCUGAAUGGACUUUUUGCUAUUUGACAUCUCCUUUCCAGACUCUUAAACGGAGUGCACAUUGGUGAGGUCAAAUGAGGUCCUGUAACACUCAUCACUGAAGCCUGUGGGAUGAAGAAACCCUCUUAUCACCUAGAUGAGUAUAACCUUGCAUAGCAAGUUGCCUCUUAGAAUAUAAAACCAGUGAAGCUGCUUUUGCUGGCUAAAACUUUAAUAUCUUGUUCCACUAUGCAUUGUUUGUGGUCUCAACCAGGCAUGUGCCUACACCAAAUGAAGAGACAGCAGGCUGUAUGGGAAAAUAAUACAGAACAUGUGAUGCUGUAAGACUGCUCUCACUGCUCACAGGAGUCUUUCAUUAGGUUUAAUUCUUCCAGGAGCAAUAUACAGCACCUGUGAGUAGGUCAGAUAACAGCUUAGUAUCUGUCUGUAUGCAAAGAGAGCUAUAGUAAUAUUUCAGUGCUUCAAGCCUCUACAACUCAAGCCUCUCCCCUCAAUGUCUUUUUUUCCUUACUGACAAUCUUGCUUAGGAAAAGGCAAGGAAAAGAGCUGGUACAGAGUAUUUAUUUAAACUUGAAAUGCUGUCUUGGUCUGUAAAAACAAGCCUUUUCUGAUUUCCUAGCUCUGUGCAUAAGACUUUAACGAGUCACAUCUGGUGGUUCUUCAUGUCAUGUUACAUUAUGAAUCUUUAUGGGCAAUUAACUGGUUGGGUAUGAAAACACCCACACUAGUAAUGGGUCAAUAGGCACAUCCAGUUUCAAAAUUCAGCUCAAAUUGUUAAGUCUCUCUCCAAAGAAAAAGCACACUAUUUUCCUUCUGAUGAAUUUGAUGAGACAGUGGUUAAAACAGAGUAAACAGAAAACUUUCUCUGCAUAAAUAUUGGCUGCUGGAAAUGGCUAGUGUUCUUCCUCAUCUUGUACUUUAAACAAAUGUCAAUAGCCAAAUAACUUCUAUAUAAUUACAUUUAUUAUGGCCAUGAAAAUAAUUGUCUGAGAUGAUAUGAUGAGUUAUUUGAACUGUUUUUGGUUUAAAAGUAUUACUUAGUGGGUUUAAGAACAACAACAAAAAUGC